rnacentral:rRNA from 1 species
AUACGUAGGGAGCGAGCGUUGUCCGGAAUUACUGGGUGUAAAGGGAGCGUAGGCGGGAGUGCAAGUCAGAUGUGAAAUACAUGGGCUCAACCCAUGGGCUGCAUUUGAAACUGCAUUUCUUGAGUGAAGUAGAGGUAAGCGGAAUUCCUGGUGUAGCGGUGAAAUGCGUAGAUAUCAGGAGGAACACCGGUGGCGAAGGCGGCUUACUGGGCAUUUACUGACGCUGAGGCUCGAAAGCGUGGGGAGCAAACAGUAUUAGAUACCCUGGUAGUCCACGCUGUAAACGAUGAUUACUAGGUGUGGAGGGACUGACCCCUUCCGUGCCGCAGUUAACACAAUAAGUAAUCCACCUGGGGAGUACGGCCGCAAGGUUGAAACUCAAAUGAAUUGACGGGG